UUAAGCGACUAAGCGUACACGGUGGAUGCCCUGGCAGUCAGAGGCGAUGAAGGACGUGCUAAUCUGCGAUAAGCGUCGGUAAGGUGAUAUGAACCGUUAUAACCGGCGAUUUCCGAAUGGGGAAACCCAGUGUGUUUCGACACACUAUCAUUAACUGAAUCCAUAGGUUAAUGAGGCGAACCGGGGGAACUGAAACAUCUAAGUACCCCGAGGAAAAGAAAUCAACCGAGAUUCCCCCAGUAGCGGCGAGCGAACGGGGAGCAGCCCAGAGCCUGAAUCAGUGUGUGUGUUAGUGGAAGCGUCUGGAAAGGCGCGCGAUACAGGGUGACAGCCCCGUACACAAAAAUGCACAUGCUGUGAGCUCGAUGAGUAGGGCGGGACACGUGGUAUCCUGUCUGAAUAUGGGGGGACCAUCCUCCAAGGCUAAAUACUCCUGACUGACCGAUAGUGAACCAGUACCGUGAGGGAAAGGCGAAAAGAACCCCGGCGAGGGGAGUGAAAAAGAACCUGAAACCGUGUACGUACAAGCAGUGGGAGCACCUUCGGGUGUGACUGCGUACCUUUUGUAUAAUGGGUCAGCGACUUAUAUUCUGUAGCAAGGUUAACCGAAUAGGGGAGCCGAAGGGAAACCGAGUCUUAACUGGGCGUUAAGUUGCAGGGUAUAGACCCGAAACCCGGUGAUCUAGCCAUGGGCAGGUUGAAGGUUGGGUAACACUAACUGGAGGACCGAACCGACUAAUGUUGAAAAAUUAGCGGAUGACUUGUGGCUGGGGGUGAAAGGCCAAUCAAACCGGGAGAUAGCUGGUUCUCCCCGAAAGCUAUUUAGGUAGCGCCUCGUGAAUUCAUCUCCGGGGGUAGAGCACUGUUUCGGCAAGGGGGUCAUCCCGACUUACCAACCCGAUGCAAACUGCGAAUACCGGAGAAUGUUAUCACGGGAGACACACGGCGGGUGCUAACGUCCGUCGUGAAGAGGGAAACAACCCAGACCGCCAGCUAAGGUCCCAAAGUCAUGGUUAAGUGGGAAACGAUGUGGGAAGGCCCAGACAGCCAGGAUGUUGGCUUAGAAGCAGCCAUCAUUUAAAGAAAGCGUAAUAGCUCACUGGUCGAGUCGGCCUGCGCGGAAGAUGUAACGGGGCUAAACCAUGCACCGAAGCUGCGGCAGCGACACUAUGUGUUGUUGGGUAGGGGAGCGUUCUGUAAGCCUGCGAAGGUGUGCUGUGAGGCAUGCUGGAGGUAUCAGAAGUGCGAAUGCUGACAUAAGUAACGAUAAAGCGGGUGAAAAGCCCGCUCGCCGGAAGACCAAGGGUUCCUGUCCAACGUUAAUCGGGGCAGGGUGAGUCGACCCCUAAGGCGAGGCCGAAAGGCGUAGUCGAUGGGAAACAGGUUAAUAUUCCUGUACUUGGUGUUACUGCGAAGGGGGGACGGAGAAGGCUAUGUUGGCCGGGCGACGGUUGUCCCGGUUUAAGCGUGUAGGCUGGUUUUCCAGGCAAAUCCGGAAAAUCAAGGCUGAGGCGUGAUGACGAGGCACUACGGUGCUGAAGCAACAAAUGCCCUGCUUCCAGGAAAAGCCUCUAAGCAUCAGGUAACAUCAAAUCGUACCCCAAACCGACACAGGUGGUCAGGUAGAGAAUACCAAGGCGCUUGAGAGAACUCGGGUGAAGGAACUAGGCAAAAUGGUGCCGUAACUUCGGGAGAAGGCACGCUGAUAUGUAGGUGAAGCGACUUGCUCGUGGAGCUGAAAUCAGUCGAAGAUACCAGCUGGCUGCAACUGUUUAUUAAAAACACAGCACUGUGCAAACACGAAAGUGGACGUAUACGGUGUGACGCCUGCCCGGUGCCGGAAGGUUAAUUGAUGGGGUUAGCGGUAACGCGAAGCUCUUGAUCGAAGCCCCGGUAAACGGCGGCCGUAACUAUAACGGUCCUAAGGUAGCGAAAUUCCUUGUCGGGU
rnacentral:rRNA from 1 species